rnacentral:rRNA from 1 species
CGCGUGAGUGAAGAAGGCUUCGGGUUGUAAAGCUCUUUCGGCAGGAAAGAAAUCAUUACUCCUAAUACGAGUGAUGGAUGACGGUACCUGAAGAAGAAGCACCGGCUAACUACGUGCCAGCAGCCGCGGUAAUACGUAGGGUGCGAGCGUUAAUCGGAAUUACUGGGCGUAAAGCGUGCGCAGGCGGUUUUGCAAGUCAGAUGUGAAAGCCCCGGGCUCAACCUGGGAAUGGCGUUUGAAACUGCAAGGCUAGAGUGUGUCAGAGGGGGGUAGAAUUCCACGUGUAGCAGUGAAAUGCGUAGAGAUGUGGAGGAAUACCGAUGGCGAAGGCAGCCCCCUGGGAUAACACUGACGCUCAUGCACGAAAGCGUGGGGAGCAAACAGGAUUAGAUACCCUGGUAGUCCACGCCCUAA